rnacentral:rRNA from 1 species
CCGCGUGAGGGAUGAAGGAUUUUGCUCUGUAAACCUCUUUUCUCAAGAAAGAAGUUCUGACGGUACUUGAGGAAUAAGCAUCGGCUAACUCCGUGCCAGCAGCCGCGGUAAUACGGGGGAUGCAAGCGUUAUCCGGAAUCAUUGGGCGUAAAGCGCCUGUAGGUUGUUUAGUAAGUCUGUUGUUAAAGACCAGGGCUUAACCCUGGGAAAGCAAUGGAAACUACUAGACUUGAGUAUGGCAGGGGUAGAGGGAAUUUCUAGUGUAGCGGUGAAAUGCGUAGAUAUUAGAAAGAACACCGGCGGCGAAAGCGCUCUACUGGACCAUUACUGACACUCAGAGGCGAAAGCUAGGGGGAGCAAAAGGGGAUUAGAUACCCCCGU